rnacentral:lncRNA from 1 species
CUACUACUUCCGAUUUCCAAUAACUAUACCAAACACCUUUUCUGGAUCUCAUGUAUAAAUACCAUUGCUCAUCACUAAUUAAUCUCAUAUUUCUCGUUCGAUUUUCUUUUCCGUAGCAUAUUAGAGAUUUCAGCAUCAAUGGAGGCUGUGCAGUCAUGGAUUUCCGAACACAAGCUCACUAGCAUUGGUCAGUACAUACAAUUGCAAAACUAUCUAUAAAUUAUAAUGCAUCUGAAUUUUAUUCUUUCUUUGGCAUAGCAACAUAUAUAAUCUAAUUUCUUAGGUACCUAUAUAUACUAAAUUAACUAAUUUUGCAACCCAUUUGACUUUGAUGGUAUAUUGGUAUACAUUUUUUAAAGUAUACAUAUAAAUGAAGUAGCAAUGGAAAAUAUGGUUGAUUUUGAAUUUAAAUUAAUGAAUGAGAAGAAUUUGUGGAUAGGUACGAUGUGGGCUGCAGCAAUUGGUGCUUCAGUGGCUUAUAGCUCACGUGGCACAACCCCUCUUGGGCCAAGCCUCAGGGUCAUUCAUGCCAGGUAACUACCAACACACACACACACACGUUUAAAUAUACCAUUCCCUUAAGUAUUCAUGCGUUGUGAGUAUAAUGUAAUUAAUGCGGUAUUGUAUAAUAAUUAUUAUUUAUUUUUUGAAAAUUGCAUUAUAUGUAUAUUAGUAUAUAUGCAAUAAUGUUAAUUUACGUA